rnacentral:rRNA from 1 species
UACGGAGGAUGCAAGCGUUAUCCGGAUUUAUUGGGUUUAAAGGGUGCGUAGGCGGAAGGGUAAGUCAGUGGUGAAAUCUUGCAGCUUAACUGUAAAACUGCCAUUGAUACUGUCCUUCUUGAGUACAGCUGAGGUAGGCGGAAUGUGUAAUGUAGCGGUGAAAUGCUUAGAUAUUACACAGAACACCGAUUGCGUAGGCAGCUUACUAAACUGUAACUGACGCUGAGGCACGAAAGCGUGGGGAGCGAACAGG